rnacentral:lncRNA from 1 species
GCCGGAGACAUAUGUCAGUGGCUUUCCUGCUGGCGGUCGAUCGAUAAUUAACCCCAUAUAUCGAUCGUCAGUCUCGAUGAUGAGAUGAGAUAGCUAGCCCAGCUCAGCUGCAACACCUACGUGCAUGCAAGGUCCAGACCGCCUGCUUGGCCUGGUCGGCCGGCUUCCCCUCAGCACCAUCUCUGACAGCGCCUCAAAAGCCGGCGCCAGAUCCAAUUUCCGUGUCAGAAAUGUGGACACACAGCACUAUGUCUCUGCUGCCCCGGCCAAUGACUGUCCACUACUGCACCAGCGCCUUAAUAUAAGGACCCAAUGCAAGUGCAUGUGUUUCAUAUGAUCAAAUAGCUAAGUUAAUUAGUUAUAAGUAUCUCUGCAGUACGUACAGCAAGUAGUUCCAGUAGUUGUUUUUGUUUUUUUGCGUUUUCUUUUACUUAUGUUGGGGUUUUAUUCAGUACGUCGCUGACCUAAUUAUGAUGCUACCAUGUCGUGUGUUUGAUGAUGACCCACCAGUGCUGCAUGCAACUAGUUAAUUAGUAUAUUUGGAUUUAGUCUGAUUAGCAUCUCUCUGAUGCUUACUUUCGUUUUGUCGGCUUGUCCCUAGCUUUCUCUUUUUUCACGCGCAAAUUACGCUUGCCUUUGAUGCUUGUCAUUACCUACAUCUCGCUCUUCUGUGAAUAUAUAUACACACGCGCGCGCCAAUGUCUACACUAACAGUAUAUAGGCAGCUCGAGGUUAGUGAACUGAACUGUGUUAGACACCAAAACCCUACA